rnacentral:lncRNA from 1 species
UCUGACUUCGCGGCUUACUUCGCGAAGAAGAUCUGACUUUUCUGCCUUCACGAGACUCGGCCCCUUCUCCCUUAUACGUCGAUUCAUUAAUUUUAGACCAAGGUAACAAAAUUAGAACUUUGUAUAUGGAUUUUCUUGUUUUAUGGGUUGAAAUCAGGCUUAGAUUCGUUCCAAUUUGUGUUUUGGUGUUCAAUAAUAGCUUUUUUAGGGCUUAAAAAUUAUGAGGGCCAAACCCUAUAAUCUGUAAAAUUAUUGUGUUUUUGAUUUGUAUUAUGAAGUUGUAAUGGAGUUGGGUUCUGAAAGAUUAUUUGGUGUUAUUAUAUUUUGGAAGUAGUACUUGUUGGAGACUCGUGAAAUUUUGAAAAAUCUGCAAAAUCUACAAAAUUUUGGAAGCAACAUUGGGAAAACCAGUUUUUGUUUUUUUUGCAGAGCUUAGUGCUUUUCUUGCAGUUUGGUGAAAACCAGUUCUUGUUUUUUAAGGAUACAUAUGCAAUAUUAUAUAUUUUGAAAGAUUGUUGGUGACAAGAUGAUUUGUGAUGAAAAGGUAUAUUGUUGGUGUUUUGCUUACACUUCUUUUUCUUUGUGAAUGUUCCUGCCAUGUGCUUGCUUUUCAUUUUUGAAACCACCUAAUUGUCACAUUACUACUUCUUAACCUUCUUGUCUACUAAAUAUUCUGUAUUAUUUCACAGAUUGAACUUUCUGGGGACUAAGGCUUACUAAGGUUUACUUGAAUAUGUUUUGUAUUUGCAGCCAUGAAUAAUGCACUAUGUGAUUGUGAUAGGCCAGCUCAACUUGAAACAUCAUGGACUGAUACUAACCCGGGAAGAAGGUUUUUAUCAUGUCCGAAUUAUAGAAAAGUAAGUGUGUUAGUGUUCCAUGUUUGUCUAUUAUCUCUUUCAUUCUAUCUACUUAUACAUAAAAUUGAAAACUUCGUUGUUUACAGAGGAAUGCCUGUUAAUUUUUUGGUUGGUACGAUCCUCCAAUGUGCGACAGAUCAAGGCAAAUAAUACCUAGAUUAAUUCGAAAGAUCAAUGGAAUGGAGCAAGAGAUGGAGAACAUGCGUGUAAUAGGCAACAAAGGAAGAACACAAUUAAUUAUUUCACUUGUAUGUUCUUGGUUAUUGAUUUUAAUAAUGUUAUUGUAGAUGGAGUAAAAAUUGUCAUUUUGGUUAAUUAAACUUUAGUGUUAGUUUAUUGUAACCUUGUCAAAGAAGGACAUGUAAUCAAGGUAUAGUUGAUUUUAAUAUGAAAUACGUUAUUUACCAA